rnacentral:rRNA from 1 species
UAACGCGUGAGGAACCUGCCUCAAAGAGGGGGACAACNNUUGGAAACGACUGCUAAUACCGCAUAAGCCCACGACCCGGCAUCGGGUUGAGGGAAAAGGAGCAAUCCGCUUUGAGAUGGCCUCGCGUCCGAUUAGCUAGUUGGUGAGGUAAUGGCCCACCAAGGCAACGAUCGGUAGCCGGACUGAGAGGUUGAACGGCCACAUUGGGACUGAGACACGGCCCAGACUCCUACGGGAGGCAGCAGUGGGGAAUAUUGCACAAUGGGGGAAACCCUGAUGCAGCGACGCCGCGUGGAGGAAGAAGGUCUUCGGAUUGUAAACUCCUGUUGUUGAGGAAGAUAAUGACGGUACUCAACAAGGAAGUGACGGCUAACUACGUGCCAGCAGCCGCGGUAAAACGUAGGUCACAAGCGUUGUCCGGAAUUACUGGGUGUAAAGGGAGCGCAGGCGGGAAGACAAGUUGGAAGUGAAAUCUAUGGGCUCAACCCAUAAACUGCUUUCAAAACUGUUUUUCUUGAGUAGUGCAGAGGUAGGCGGAAUUCCCGGUGUAGCGGUGGAAUGCGUAGAUAUCGGGAGGAACACCAGUGGCGAAGGCGGCCUACUGGGCACCAACUGACGCUGAGGCUCGAAAGUGUGGGUAGCAAACAGGAUUAGAUACCCUGGUAGUCCACACCGUAAACGAUGAUUACUAGGUGU